GACGUAGGGCGCGAGCGUUGUCCGGAUUUAUUGGGCGUAAAGAGCUCGUAGGCGGUUUGUUGCGUCGGCUGUGAAAUCCCGAGGCUCAACCUCGGGUCUGCAGUCGAUACGAGCAAACUAGAGAGUUGCAGGGGAGACUGGAAUUCCUGGUGUAGCGGUGAAAUGCGCAGAUAUCAGGAGGAACACCGGUGGCGAAGGCGGGUCUCUGGGCAACAACUGACGCUGAGGAGCGAAAGCGUGGGGAGCGAACAGG
rnacentral:rRNA from 1 species